rnacentral:rRNA from 1 species
UAUCUCUGUAGAGUCUGCAUAUCAAUAAGCGGAGGAAAAGAAACUAACAAGGAUUCCCCUAGUAACGGCGAGUGAAGCGGGAAGAGCUCAAAUUUGAAAUCUUCAAGGUUUGACCUUGACGAAUUGUAGUUUAAAGAAGUGUUUUCGGUUAGAGGAGUAGUAAAAGUUCUUUGGAAUAGGACAUCAUAGAGGGUGAGAAUCCCGUAUUUGACUAUUCUUUCUAGCUUUGUGAUACACUUUCAAAGAGUCGGAUUGUUUGGGAAUGCAGUCCAAAAUGGGUGGUAAAUUUCAUCUAAAGCUAAAUAUUGGCGAGAGGACCGAUAGCGAACAAGUACCGUGAGGGAAAGAUGAAAAGAACUUUGAAAAGAGAGUUAAACAGUACGUGAAAUUGUCAAAAGGGAAGCGUUUGACACCAGUGUUGUUCUUCCGAAAAUCAAUUAAAAAUUGAUUCAUGCCAGGUUGUAUUGACCUUAUCAGCUUGCAAUUUGGUUUUGGGUCUCUUUUUGAUGCACUUUUCGGUUAACAAGUCAACAUCAAUUUCCUUUGCUGUAAAAAGGUAAGAGGAAGGUGGCUUCAAUUUCGGUUGAAGUGUUUAUAGCCUUUUAUCUCUGCAGUCGGGGAGAUUGAGGUCUGCAGCGUAGAUCCUUCGGGGCUAGAUACAUUUAUGCUAAGUUAUAGCUUUUCAUAGACAACUUGUUGACUAUGUUUAGUCAUGUAGCUUACUCGUUAAGUGCUAUUUUACCUACGCUUAGGAUGUUGAAGACUCUACAGAGAUA